GAUCUUCGGUGUAGCAAUACAUCGGCGGUCCUAGUGGCGCACGGGUGAGUAACACGUGGGUAACCUGUCCUUGAGUUCGGGAUACCCUUUCGAAAGGAAGGCUAAUACCGGAUACGUUCCUCGGAUUGCGAAAUCUGGGGAGGAAAGGUGGCGAAAGCUACCGCUCUUGGAGGGGCUCGCGGCCUAUCAGCUAGUUGGUGAGGUAACGGCUCACCAAGGCUAUGACGGGUAGCUGGUCUGAGAGGACGACCAGCCACACGGGAACUGAGACACGGUCCCGACUCCUACGGGAGGCAGCAGUGGGGAAUUUUCCGCAAUGGGCGAAAGCCUGACGGAGUGACGCCGCGUGGGGGACGAAGGCCUUCGGG
rnacentral:rRNA from 1 species